ncrna:unclassified sequences RAGATH-9 RNA
GCAGUCAACCCAGAACUACUAUUAUCAACCAAAUCCCUAAUGGAAGCUUAGUAACAACUAAGCUACUAAGCAAGAGUACAAUGGACUAUACAACGGUCAACCAGUAUCUAAUAUUGGUCUAAGAUGAAGGAAAAGGGUUGCCUAUGAAUAAGAGAUACGAAUAAAUAGGAUAGUAGUUUU